rnacentral:rRNA from 1 species
UCGAGAGGCUUCGGCAAUGGGGGAAACCCUGACCGAGCGACGCCGCGUGGAGGAUGAAGGCCUUUGGGUUGUAAACUCCUGUCAUGUGGGAAGAAACGCUAUCGUUCGAAUAGGGCGGUAGUUUGACGGUACCACAAGAGGAAGCUCCGGCUAACUCCGUGCCAGCAGCCGCGGUAAUACGGAGGGGGCUAGCGUUGUUCGGAAUUACUGGGCGUAAGGGGUGCGUAGGCGGCGCGGUAAGUCGGGUGUGAAAUCUCGGAGCUUAACUCCGAAACUGCAUUCGAUACUGCCGUGCUUGAGGACUGGAGAGGAGACUGGAAUUUACGGUGUAGCGGUGAAAUGCGUAGAUAUCGUAAGGAAGACCAGUGGCGAAGGCGGGUCUCUGGACAGUUCCUGACGCUGAGGCACGAAGGCCAGGGGAGCAAA